AUUGAACGCUGGCGGCAGGCCUAACACAUGCAAGUCGAGCGGAUCGGCGGACGGGUGAGUAAUGCCUAUGAAUCUGCCUGGUCGUGGGGGAUAACGUAAGGAAACGGGCGCUAAUCCAGCAUACUCUCAAAUGAGCCUAGUUCGGAUUAGCUAGUGGGUGUGGUAAAGGCCUACCAAGGCGAAGAACCGGAACUGGACUGAGAGGAUGAUCAGUAACACUGGGACUGAGACACGGUCCAGAUUCCUACGGGAGGCAGCAGUGGGGAAUAUUCGACAAUGGGCGAAAGCCUGAUCCAGCCAUGCCGCGUGUGUGAAGAAGGUCUUCGGAUUGUAAAGCACUUUAAGUUGGGAGGCGUUACCAACAGAAUAAGCACCGGCUAACUCCGUGCCAGCAGCCGCGGUAAUAC
rnacentral:rRNA from 1 species